rnacentral:misc_RNA from 1 species
GAUGAAGAACGCAGCGAAAUGCGAUAAGUAGUGUGAAUUGCAGAAUUCAGUGAAUCAUCGAAUCUUUGAACGCACAUUGCGCCCCUUGGUAUUCCAUGGGGCAUGCCUGUUCGAGCGUCAUUUGUACCUUCAAGCUUUGCUUGGUGUUGGGUGUUUGUCUCGCCUUUGCGUGUAGACUCGCCUUAAAAUAAUUGGCAGCCGGCGUAUUGAUUUCGGAGCGCAGUACAUCUCGCGCUUUGCACUCAUAACGACAGCGUCCAAAAGUACAUUUUACACUCUUGACCUCGGAUCAGGUAGGGAUACCCGCUGAACUUAAGCACAUCAAUAAGCGGAGGA